rnacentral:rRNA from 1 species
UACGUAGGGGGCAAGCGUUGUCCGGAUUUAUUGGGCGUAAAGAGCUCGUAGGUGGUUCGGUAAGUCGGAUGUGAAAUCUCCAGGCUCAACCUGGAGGGGUCAUUCGAUACUGCCGUGACUAGAGGUCGGUAGGGGAGUGUGGAAUUCCUGGUGGAGCGGUGAAAUGCGCAGAUAUCGGGAGGAACACCAAUGGCGAAGGCAGCUCGCUGGGACGUGACUGACGCUGAGACGCGAAAGCGUGGGGAGCAAACAGGG